rnacentral:lncRNA from 1 species
GGGUCAGAGAAACAUGACGUUGCUGGCUUAGAAGAUGGAGAUACAUAAUCAAUAGUGUUAAGUGGUUGUCUGUUUUGUCCGUUAUAGACCCAUCUCAUCUCAUUUCUUGCUAAUUUCUUCUUAAUGUGACAAGACAUUGAACUUAUUGAACGUUGAGAUUCCAUUUUAAAAAAUGAUCAAGACUUGCUGAUCUGUUUAAGGAAUUGAAUUUAUUUAGACUCAGAGGAGUCAUAUGGUUGUGUGGACUGAGCCUGAGACAAACAUAAGCUGCAUUCAUUUCUCAUUGCGGAACUGCUCUGGCUGGACGCAACAGAUUUGCAAAAUUUAAGCCAAUCUCUGAAGUCCCCUUCACCUAAAAGACUCACAGGUUUUGAUGAAUUAAUCAC